rnacentral:rRNA from 1 species
AUUAACGCUGGCGGCAGUCCCUACACAUUCAAGUCGAGCGCAGCGGAAAAUAGCUUGUACUUUGCCGGCGAGCGGCGGAGGGGUGAGUAAUGUCUGGGAAACUUCUUGAUGGAGGGGGAUAACUACUGGAAACGGUAGCUAAUACCGCAUGACCUCGAAAGAGCAAAGUGGGGGAUCUUCGGACCUCACGCCAUCGGAUGUGCCCAGAUGGGAUUAGCUAGUAGGUGAGGUAAUGGCUCACCUAGGCGACGAUCCCUAGCUGGUCUGAGAGGAUGACCAGCCACACUGGAACUGAGACACGGUCCAGACUCCUACGGGAGGCAGCAGUGGGGAAUAUUGCGCAAUGGGCGCAAGCCUGAUGCAGCCAUGCCGCGUGUGUGAAGAAGGCCUUAGGGUUGUAAAGCACUUUCAGCGAGGAGGAAGGCACCAUACUUAAUACGUGUGGUGAUUGACGUUACUCGCAGAAGAAGCACCGGCUAACUCCGUGCCAGCAGCCGCGGUAAUACGGAGGGUGCAAGCGUUAAUCGGAAUUACUGGGCGUAAAGCGCACGCAGGCGGUUUGUUAAGUCAGAUGUGAAAUCCCCGCGCUUAACGUGGGAACUGCAUUUGAAACUGGCAAGCUAGAGUCUUGUAGAGGGGGGUAGAAUUCCAGGUGUAGCGGUGAAAUGCGUAGAGAUCUGGAGGAAUACCGGUGGCGAAGGCGGCCCCCUGGACAAAGACUGACGCUCAGGUGCGAAAGCGUGGGGAGCAAACAGG